UUACAAAAAACACCAAAAGUCAGCAGAUGUUCACCCGUUCUUCUCUCCCCUUUCUACAUCCCUCUAUUCGCCUCCAGUCAUAAUCAUCUCGCUUGAUUUCUCGAUCAGGGUUUUUUCGUCAUCUUCGAUCUUGCUUUGUCGUCGAAAAAUCAACCA